CGCUAUCAUCACGCAGACUGUUACAUACCCAGUCUAUCAUCCUCCAAGACUCCUCACUCUGUUCUUUAUUUCAAAAUCAUUAUCAAUCUCCAGAUGAUACGAGAUCAAUGGCCUUGGUACCUAUCAAUGACCUAAACUAUUCACAUUCAGUUCUGGCGAAUCAACUUCCCUAAUCUACCCAUGAAAGAACGGGUAAUCAGGGUUUAUACUUUGGUGUUUCGUCACUUGCUCUUUCAGCCACUUCAUCUCUCCGCUCUCUCUGCAAAUGAAAUGUGGCGGCGGAGAGGCUCGGGGGAUAAUUCUCCAGAGUCUGAUCAAAUAAGUGAUGGUCAGAGUUCGAGUAACGAGGUACAGGAAGUUGCUGUUGAUACAUAUCGAAUUACAACUUUACAAGGCUUGGCUUCACGUUGCUGCGCUAACUUGGGUAAGGAUCAAUGGCCUUGGUACCUGUCAAAACAGGCUACACAGGAUCACCUAUGGCGGUAUUCGUUAUGGCGUGGUCAUCCAUGGGCAGGCCAGGUUAUUUGAUAAAUUAACAUCUAUCUACAAAAACAUAUGUUAAUUAUCUUGAGAUAGAUUUUGUUUGAUAUGAUGGGUUUGUUUUUGAGUGUUUUAUUCGGACGCCUUCUCUGCUUUUACACUCCUUCAUAACAGUAAGUGGUUGUCACUCUGCAUAUUAAGCGGUAAAAGUCAGUAGUAAAAUAUACUGCAUGUAUUCGUCCUGCAUGUUAGUUAUAUCAGAAUUUAUCAGAUGUUCACCCUCGCUGAGUGGGCAAUCCGCAUCAACCCCUGGAAUGUUGAGUCAACUGCAGAGGCAAUGAAUGAGGCAAUAUUCAUGGCUGAAUAUGAAAAACAACUGCGACAUGAAAUACAUUAUCGGUUUAAUUAUACUUUGAGUUUCUAUAUCAUAUCUGCAUCAUGGGUAAUUAUACUUUCAUUUUCAUACAUCUCAUCGGUUUAAUUAAUUGCAGUUAACAUGUUUGUUUAAAGAUUUGAGAGCUUUUUUUUUAUAUUGUUUCGAUGAUUAAUGUUAAAGACGAGCAUCCAAUUUGUGAUUAUGGGUUUAGUUGUGAUUGAGUUCUUCAUUUUGAUCGGUAUGUUUCGGUCAGAUUUUGCCAAAAGCGGCCUACCUACAACAAGAAACUGUCCAAGGGAUUUCUUUAUUUUAUACGGGGUACAGGCUCUUACCGCAGUGUGAUCCCUCUCCUGGCUCAUAGUUAUUGCAGUGGGAGUAAGUUGUGCAGAUGUUUGUUUGGACUCUGGCUUCCCAACUCAAUCAUUUCAACUGGAGAGAAGAUGAAGUGUUAUCGAGAUGUGCUGAGGAUGUUCGUGGUGGUUGUUGGUCCGAUGCAGCUCUAUUUCUUAUCGAAACGUGAGGAUGUGAAGCCACCAUUUCUUCCACGGAAUCCUUCCCGAUAGACAAGUGUGUUGCAUAUGGAACUUCUUGAAGAUCAGUUACAAAAGUAGGAGUUGAUCAAGUCCUCUCAUUUCGGGUUCAUUUUCUUGAGUACUAUUGGGUUUAUUGAGUCAUCUCAUUUUGAGGUUUUGAAUGUUUCAUGUUAUUUCUUUGCAUUCACUAAGUGUGUUCUUAUUAUUUCAUAUUCCAAUUUGUUUUGCUUCACAGUGGAUUUGUCAAAUAUUUAUGGUGGUUCAUUCCACGAAAAAUGGAAUGGACUUGGCAACUUGAUAGGCAAGAAAGUUGUUGCAGCAGUGGGCCUUGGGCCAUAGGAACCAUCAUUCUACUUGGCUACAAAAGGUGGAGUAGUACUUCUACAAGGGAUGAUCCCAAACACUGACAUGAUCAUAAGGAGCAACUCAGUAUCAAUCCAGCUAAUGAAUUCACCUGGUGCUCCAAUUAGUCAAGUUGGUAAUGUUAUAUGUCAACAGAAUGACAACCGUACAACACUGUACAUGCAUUUGUGGAACCAAGUAGUCGUUGUUGUCAUGUAUGCAAGGAUUGUCAAUCAUUUGUGAUGAAACGAUGUCAUUGGAUGAAACAUUAUACUCAUAUCUUGAGGUUGGAGCGCCUCUAACAGCUGGAUGUGAAAAUUGAUCGACUUUUGGUCUUUGCUAACAAAUUUAACAAAAUUCAAGGUAUGUUAACUAAUUAAGUAAUUAAGCUUAAUGUUUGCUGUCUUUUUAUCAUUUUAUUCCUUCUUAUGUACCGUUAAAAUAAGAAGUCAUACACUUUCAAGCCAUGAAGUCACCAAAUAAACCUCUGCCUCUUGAAAAGAGAAAAGCUUAAGGAAAUGCUCUGCCGAUGGGUAUAUAUAUUUGUGUGGUAUUUAUUUGUUAUAAUAUUAUAGUAAAUGGAGGAAAUACUAUAAUCCAAACAAGAGAAGAUAGAUUCUAAAAGCUUACAGGGUUCUGUUUCUUUUCGAUUUUUGCUGCCGAAAGAUAGAUUUGAUUUUGAAUAAUUGUAUUGGUUGUUAAAAUCUGAAUAUUAGAUGGGAUCUAGACUUAUAUUAUCACCACAACA